rnacentral:tRNA from 1 species
GAGGGUAUAGCUCAAGUGGUAGAGCACAUGCUUAGCAUGUGUGAGGUCCUGGGUUCAAUCCCUAGGACUCCUCU